AAGUCGUAACAAGGUUUCCGUAGGUGAACCUGCGGGAGGAUCAUUAACACGUAUCGAACGUUAAACACCUUGUGAACUUUCAGCCUGCUCUUGUAGCCCAUGAGGAACAGCAAUCCAUUGCCGAACAGUUUUGAUUCGGGACCUCUGUCCAAAAGGAGUUGCAAUUGAGCGGUAGAGGCAGUGGCAUGGCUUCCCCUCACGGUUGCUAGAGGUCGAUCACCGACCGGCAGCAUGUCACAGGGUCACCACGCCCCUUAAUAACCCCACUUUUUAAUGCCCGCCUAGCUAAAAAACCGAACAACUGUUAACAAUGGAUAUCUUA
rnacentral:misc_RNA from 1 species